CAGCAGCCACGGGAAUACGAAGGGGGCUAGCGUUGCUCGGAAUGACUGGGCGUAAAGGGCGCGUAGGCGGAUUGCGCAGUCAGAUGUGAAAUUCCUGGGCUUAACCUGGGGGCUGCAUUUGAGACGCGUAGUCUAGAGUGUGAAAGAGGGUCGUGGAAUUCCCAGUGUAGAGGUGAAAUUCGUAGAUAUUGGGAAGAACACCGGUGGCGAAGGCGGCGACCUGGUUCAUGACUGACGCUGAGGCGCGAAAGCGUGGGGAGCAAACAGGAUUAGAUACCCCCGUAGUCCCUGUCUCUUAUAC
rnacentral:rRNA from 1 species